AGUCACAGCAUCUGGGGCUGAGGCUGCCCGAGCAGUCUGCCUGGGGCGCCGCACACUCCAUACCUCCCUCUCCAGACGGUGUCCUCAAUCGGCAUUCUGAGGGGAAAGCAAAUGACGGCAAGCAUGCAGAUGAGCUCACCUGAUGAGGAACAUGGACGUGCGUAGUCUGUGUUAGGAUGUGUUCAGCUGACAGUCACCUUUGACCUACAGGUGACUCACCAUCUAGCUUCACGGUUCGCAGUGUGACGAGUUUCUCUGAGCCUUCUUCCCACACACCUGCUGGCCUGAGCACCUGCCACAGCAUCCGCUGACCCAUCUUAGAGGUGAGAACUUCAAUGCUGCCCCGUGAUGGACAGGGACCACACACAGGGCAGGUGACAGGGGUGGGGGGUGGAUUCCCUGACAGUCGUUCACACACCUACUCAUGCCCUAUGGUUUACUGAACACCUAUUAUGUGCCAAGCCUUACCUAGCUGCUAGAAAGGCAGCAGAGAACUCGAGAGACCCAAAUCUCUGCCUUCAUGCAGCUGAUCCAGCUGGGCGGGAGGACAUCAUACAAAAGGAGUAAAAUACAUACAUUCUGGGGCCGGCGCUGUGACAUAGCAGGUAAAGCAGCCACCUGCAGUGCCGGCACCCCAUAUGGGUGCUGGUUCGAGACCCGGCUGCUCUACUUCCAAUCCAGCUCUCUGCUACAGCCUGGGAAAGCAGUAGAAGAUAGCCUAGGUCCUUGGGCCCCUGCACCUGCAUGGUAGACCCCGAAGAGGCUCCUGGCUCCUGGCUCUGAUCGGCGUAGCUCCAGCUGUUGCAGCCAAUUGGGGAGUGAACCAGCAGAUGGAAGACCUCUCUCUCUGCCUCUCCUUCUCUCUGUAUAACUCUGACUUCCAAAUAAAUAAAUAAAUCUUAAAAAAAAAAAAA